AUGCCUGCAAUCAAAUCGGAUGCAAUGGAAUAUAGCAUCAAAGGGCAGUCGCUGUACCUCGAAGAGAGUAUGACAAAUGCACUAUUCAAAAGGAGAGUGGGGGCUAAAUUCAGUGCAAAAAGCUUCCUAAGAGAGUAUGACAGGAUAAUAGAAGUCAUUCAUGAGAGGGAGCAAGAAUGUGAUCACUUGUCUAGAAACAAAAAGGAUGCGCACAAGAAGCUCUGGUCCAAAUACAGUAUAAAACGACAAGGGCAUGAGCUCUACAACAUUCGGAUCUUCAGGAAGAUCCAAAAGAAGAUGGAAGAUACGACGAGGCUGCAUGUGUUUGAGCUUGAAAAAGAAAAAGAAAAACUACAUGGUUUAUCAAGCUGA
rnacentral:rRNA from 1 species